rnacentral:rRNA from 1 species
GUAUCACUAAGUGGAGGAAAAGAAAUUAACUAAGAUUGCCUCAGUAACGGCGAGUGAAGCGGCAAAAGCCCAAACUGGAAAUCUUCACCCUUCGGGUGACGAAUUGUAAUCUAGAGGGUGGUAGCUCACCUAGCAGUGGCGCAGAAGUGCCUUAGAACGGGCCGCCAGAGAGGGUGACAGCCCCGUAUGUGGUGCCCAUUGCUUAACGAGUGAGUGUUCGAUGAGUCGGGUUGUUUGGAUUGCAGCCCUAAGUUGGGAGAUAGACUUCUUCUAAGGCUAAAUAUAUAUGGGAGACCGAUAGCGCACAAGGUA